UUUUCCAAAAGAUGAUUUUACCACAACAAUUGAUUGAAUUUCAUUAUUGUUAUGAUGAAUUUUAAUUAAAAUUAUGAUUUAUAUUGUGUUUUGUAUGAAGAGUAUAUGUUGCUGAGAUUUGCAGUAAAUGGAUUCAUAUUGAGAUUUUAUACCCAUACAAAAGGAAAUAAAUUUAUGCUAUUGUUUUCAUAUCUCACGGCUAAUACUUGACAUGGUUAUUACCCGUCCCUCAUUUGUUGAGGUGAUACACUGGUGUUUGGAUGGAUGUGAUCUGGAUACCAUGA
rnacentral:misc_RNA from 1 species